rnacentral:tRNA from 1 species
AUUUAUAUAGUUUAAAAAAACAUAGCAUUUUCACUGCUAAGUUGGAUUCACUUAUCCUAUAAA